rnacentral:tRNA from 1 species
GCCCCCGUAGCUCAGGGGAUAGAGCACAGGUUUCCUAAACCUGGUGUCGGCCGUUCGAAUCGGCCCGGGGGCACCA